UAUGAAUGGGUUAAGCCUUCCCCCAAAGCCUCUAGUGGCUGUCUCAUUGACAGCCACUAGAGGCACUUGCGUGCUUCUCACUGUGAUUUUCACAGUGAGAGCACACCAGCGUCCAUAGGAAAGCAUUAUGAAUGCCGCGCGUGCGCAUUCAGCCGACGGGGCGGAACGGAGGAGGAGAGAAGGAGGAGAGCUCUCCGCCCAGCGCUGGAAAAAGGUAAGUUUAAACCCUUUUCCCCCUUCCAGAGACGGGCGGGUGGGGGACCCUGAGGGUGGGGGCACCCUCAGGGCACUAUAGUGCCAGGAAAACGAGUAUGUUUUCCUGGCACUAUAGUGGUCCUUUAAGAAAUGUGUAUUUGUGAGGUGUGAAAAAUCAAUGUAGAAAUUCACACCUCUGUAUCUUUGUUCUCUGUCAAUUAAUGUUUACCCUGGCUUUGCAUUGUCUGAGCUGGAUAAUGAUGUAAAUUAUGAGAAAAAUUACCCCAAGUUAUCUGUGAUUUUUUUUUUUUAUGUUUUGUUUAAUGGGGUAAAUUGCAAGGCAUGACAGUUUCUUUUUAAUGGUCUUAUUCUUGAUGGUGUGCGUAAUAUUUUGUUCAUGGUCAUUUCUGUUACCAGUGAUUUAUAGUACAAAGGUUUUGACCAUUUUUUUGUAUUGUAAUGGAAAUGUACAUAUGUUAUUUUUUCACUUUUUGUUAUAAUUGUGAUAUUAAAAACCCAAUGCUUAC